UUUAAUUUUCUUCUGGGCUCUCUUCUGUUGGAUAACCAUACUCAUCUUUCAUCAGAGUACCUCUUGUGAUGCUCUCCAAAGAAUGGUUAUCUUUCUGGCAGCUUUGGAACGAAUCCUCAACUGCUCUGACUCUGGCUAGGCCUGUCCAAGGCUGAGCAGUGCUGCAGUCUAUUUUUAGGGUUAUAAUGUGCCUUCUCUUAAGUUCUGGAUAACAGCUAGUGAGCAAAUGAUUAGCCAGUCACUUCGGUGAGUGUUGCUUUUCUUUGCCAAAAUGAGCCUGUUUUGCAUUUUGUGCAGCAAUGCGGGUUGCUUCCUUUUCCCUCUACUAACCUUUUACAAAGAGAUAAAAAUAAAAGCAGAAAAGGAGAUGACUGAUUUUGAAAGGAGGACAGAAGCUGGACUUAACUGAGUACUCUGUGCGUAAACUUCCUACUGUAACAAGACGGUGAUGUGCUUUUAGGAUUUGAUACUGUGAUGUGUCCUCUGUCAAGAAACAGAGCAGUGACACUGUGUCCCCAAAGCCCACUGUGGGCAUUUGGACUUUCCCCUCUAAAAGAGCAGAGGGGGUUGGUAGCCCAUACCGAAGAGCUGGGUGUAGUUAGUCCCUCUGCUGUCAGUGUACAAGGGAGAUGUUCCCACAUCCAUGCACGUGGGAGGGAAGGGAUCAGGCUUGCCUAUUCGGUGAAGACCUUUGACUGUCCUAGGUAGUUGGCUAGAGUGACUUGUAGUGUCUUCUUUGGAACCCGCUGCUUUUAGAGCAAACCACUGAACUAUGCUGAAAUCUUGUUUAGUCUCUCGACUUUAGGCUCUGGCUGACAACUAAAUUCCAUGGACUGGAAGAGUUUUCACUACGAGUGCUGUCAGUUUUGCUGUGGAGCUCAAAACUGCAGAGUAAAAUGUAAAUCUUAGAGUAAAUAUAAGCCCACUGAGUUUUGCAGGCAAACUGAACCACCUGGGAGCUGUCAGAUGGCUGCUUGUUCCAGACUAAAGCUAGUAACAUUCCUGAUAACAUACUUGGAGACUUGGUGUAAACUCAAAGUUAGUAGUAAACACUAGUAAGCAAUACAGGUCUGAUAAACCUACAAGUUUUACAACUCUUCAGCUUUAACAAAGGCUGUGAAACCUAGCAAGAUACUGCCCUUUAAUGUAUUUACUAACUUCUGCUGCUUAAACUGGGAGCAUUUAUCAUGCUAAUUCUAACCUCCUCUUAACUCUUGGGCCUGCUUAUCUUCUUGCACAUGUGGUUUGGAGAUCCCAGUGUCUUCCAUAUGCUGUAGUCCAGUCACUGCGCCCUGCUUGGCUCACUCUAACUGGAAGCCAGUAGGAGUGUCUAGUUUUUUCCUGUUGUAACGGAUUAAAAAUCUGCAAAAGUAGCAAUGUUCUGGGGUUAGUAACCAGCAUGCACCUAAUAGGGUGGAACAGCUGGUCUUCUGGUCAGUGCUGACAGUGAAUUUAAAGUGGUGACAGCAAAUUGUGUUGUCCAAGUUCACGGCGUGAGGAUAUAAAAUUUUUCAGAUGAAAUAGGACUAAUGAUCUCUGCCCUUAUGGCCUUAGGCCCAUGUUAGGCCCUCAGUAACUGCCCUGUUGCAGUACGCUACCAAAGUUGAAGCCUUUAAGGAUGGGGUUUAAUCCCAGUGACGCAAAGGCUUUUUCUUUUUUUCCUUUUUUCCCCCUUUCCCUUAAACAUACCAGAGAUGUCGUUUGCGGCUGCGUCCUCAUCCGCGUUUGGAGUACUGACUGAAUUGUUAGGCUCCGCAGGUCAAGCGGUGUCUAAAUGAAUUUUUGUUCUGAUACCUAACCGCCCUGGAUUCCCCAGGAUGAGCCAGGGAGGCUGCAGACCUGUGCUGUGGCCCUCGGCUUUGAGUCGUACGGUAUGGGAACAGCUAUACAGCCCCCCUCAUUUUAGACUGACCUUCCUCAGAAGGACAGUGUUCCUCUGAAAGUGUCUCUCUUUCUCUCUCUCCCUGGAUGCUGACUGCACUUCUCGGCAGCUUUUUUGUUCAGUAGUGCCUGGGGGGCCAGACACGGACAACGGAAACAACCAAAGCUGGGGGUGGGGGAACUUCAUAAACUUGGAUUUCUAAACUCAGGUCGUAGGUUCUAGUGGGAUCUGUUCCAGGUGCGUAUCGCCGGGAAGGAGCAGUUUCUCUUCAGGUGUAAAUAGGUCGCAAGUGUAUGUACUGUGUCUCGACAUCAGUCUGUUUAACCUGCUUCGGCUUUCAAGUCCUGAAGCCGAGAGUUUCUGUGUGCUCUGGGCUGUUAUGUCACUGCUUACAAGAUACAGAUACAAAUCUAACAGUUAAUUUCCUUCUCUGCCAGGCCCAGCCAUUUGAAAGCGUGAAGAGGUUAGUAAAAGCCAUUUCCUCUGACGCCCUGGUCAGCAGGACACUGCCAGUGCUCCCCCCGAAGCCGGGUGCGUGCGUGCGCCUUGCUGGUCCAGAUCCUGCGUCGCCUGAGCUAUUCAAUACACCACUCGUGCGUGCAGGCAGUCUGCUGCUACUCGGACAAAGACUCCUGUUGCUGUGCAAAGCACGGAGGGGGGAUUAGUUGCUGCAGAGAUUUGGAAAGUUUUAUUCUUUGCUCCAGCUGUCCUGGCUAACAAUCGCCUUGACUUAACCCGCUACCAUCCGCGAGCAGCACAGAGCGUCGUCUCUACGUGCGCAGAGCAGCCUCUGCAGUCGGUACCUCACCGUGAAAGGCUUGCAGCGGAGAGAGCGUGGCUCUCUGAGCCUGAAUAAAUCCGUCCGGAUGCCAGUUGCGCAACCAAAGGAAUCUAGUGAAUUCCCAUUUUUCUGAACUGCAACAUGCUUUCAUUUUAACACUUUAAAUUGGCAAAUACCGUCUUACAUUGCCUUGAAAACAACAGGCAAGAAGUUUUUAUUCUGGCUUGCAAAUAGUAGUGCAGUUGUGCUCGCUACCGCUGUCUCGGUUCUGUGACUGUGACCGUGUGGCUGCAGUAGUCUGUACGCUGACUUCCCCUGCGCUGCCUCUGCGUGCGUCCGAUUCAUCUCGGAGCAGCGAGUUGUCCCCAGAUCCGCAGCUCUGGGAUUCUGGGGGAUGUCGACUCAACCCUUCGCUUUGAUCUAUUUGCUUUCAUGUUUGCCUCCUUACCUAGCGGAAACCGCAUCUUGCGGUGCUCACUUAGGCUAUUCAAUAUCUGUCUUCGGUGGAAAAAGCUAACGUUCCACAUCGCUAGGUGUCUGGCUCUCACUGCUAGCCUGUUGCUGUUUGUAAUUUUAUAAUUGUAUAUGAAAUUAAACCUGUGUUGUGAUAAGUA